UUGGUCUAGUGGUAAGGGGUGUGUGGAGUGUACAUGGGGUCUAAGGUUCGAGUGGUGGCGCAUCAAAAAGGGAGUAUUUAUUUUGCUGCCUAAUUCUUGUGGGUGGUAGAGUUGGAUUGAAAUAUUCCUAAAUGAAGUUUGAACUGGUUAUAGAGAGAAUUGAGGAGGGAUAUUUGGAGAGAUUUGAGGAGAGCAUAUUGGGAUUUUGGGAGGUUAUUGUUGUCGAGAG
rnacentral:lncRNA from 1 species